CCGAUCGCCGCCGAGCCGGGACUGGAGAGCGCCUUUCGCGCGCGCGUCGAAGCGCAGCACGGCUGGCGGUUCGACACCGCGUGGCCGGAC
rnacentral:tRNA from 1 species